rnacentral:rRNA from 1 species
UACGAAGGGGGCUAGCGUUGUUCGGAAUCACUGGGCGUAAAGCGCACGUAGGCGGAUUGUUAAGUCGAGGGUGAAAUCCUGAGGCUCAACCUCAGAACUGCCUUCGAUACUGGCAAUCUCGAGUCCGGAAGAGGUUGGUGGAACAGCUAGUGUAGAGGUGAAAUUCGUAGAUAUUAGCUAGAACACCAGUGGCGAAGGCGGCCAACUGGUCCGGUACUGACGCUGAGGUGCGAAAGCGUGGGGAGCAAACAGG